CCUACGGGUGGCAGCAGUGAGGAAUAUUGGUCAAUGGACGAGAGUCUGAACCAGCCAAGUAGCGUGAAGGAUGACUGCCCUAUGGGUUGUAAACUUCUUUUAUAUGGGAAUAAAAUGUUCCACGUGUGGGAGAUUGUGUGUACCAUAUGAAUAAGGAUCGGCUAACUCCGUGCCAGCAGCCGCGGUAAUACGGAGGAUCCGAGCGUUGUCCGGAUUUACUGGGUUUAACGGGAGCGUAGGUGGAUCGUUAAGUCAGUUGUGAAAGUUUGCGGCUCAACCGUAAAAUUGCAGUUGAAACUGGAAGUCUUGAGUACAGUAGAGGUGGGCGGAAUUCGUGGUGUAGCGGUGAAAUGCUUAGAUAUCACGAAGAACUCCGAUUGCGAAGGCAGUUCACUGGACUGCAACUGACACUGAGGCUCGAAAGUGUGGGUAUCAAACAGGAUUAGAUACCCGGGUAGUC
rnacentral:rRNA from 1 species